rnacentral:rRNA from 1 species
GAUGAACGCUGGCGGCGUGCCUAAUACAUGCAAGUCGAGCGAACGGACGAGAAGCUUGCUUCUCUGAUGUUAGCGGCGGACGGGUGAGUAACACGUGGAUAACCUACCUAUAAGACUGGGAUAACUUCGGGAAACCGGAGCUAAUACCGGAUAAUAUUUUGAACCGCAUGGUUCAAAAGUGAAAGACGGUCUUGCUGUCACUUAUAGAUGGAUCCGCGCUGCAUUAGCUAGUUGGUAAGGUAACGGCUUACCAAGGCAACGAUGCAUAGCCGACCUGAGAGGGUGAUCGGCCACACUGGAACUGAGACGCGGUCCAGACUCCUACGGGAGGCAGCAGUAGGGAAUCUUCCGCAAAGGGCGAAAGCCUGACGGAGCAACGCCGCGUGAGUGAUGAAGGUCUUCGGAUCGUAAAACUCUGUUAUUAGGGAAGAACAUAUGUGUAAGUAACUGUGCACAUCUUGACGGUACCUAAUCAGAAAGCCACGGCUAACUACGUG